rnacentral:lncRNA from 1 species
AACACUCACCAUACUAUAUCUCAUUUCUGCUCUGCGUAUUUUAGGAACAUGUAUUUCAAUAGACUACCAAAGGGAUGGAUACGCCCCCAACAAAAAAAUUUAAGAACAUAGUCGUAGAAUGUGACACAAAACAACAAAAUUUCAAGAUUAAGAUCUCCAUGGUUCUUAAGCAAGCCUAAAAAUCACCGGCGUAGCUGUAUUCAUCUCUAUUGUUGGGUUGAGUUGAAUUUGGUCUCCUACAAAACAAACCAGCAAAGCUACUGUCAGCCAGCCAUGCUCCACCAAGUGCCUCAAAUAAGGACAGAAAUACCCAGGUUCAUGGCUGAAUUCAGGAUCUCGUUUGCUUACCCAUGGGC